UACGUAGGGUGCGAGCGUUGUCCGGAAUUAUUGGGCGUAAAGAGCUCGUAGGCGGCUUGUUGCGUCGGAUGUGAAAGCCCCGGGCUUAACCCCGGGUCUGCAUUCGAUACGGGCAGGCUAGAGUGUGGUAGGGGAGAUCGGAAUUCCUGGUGUAGCGGUGAAAUGCGCAGAUAUCAGGAGGAACACCGGUGGCGAAGGCGGAUCUCUGGGCCAUUACUGACGCUGAGGAGCGAAAGCGUGGGGAGCGAACAGG
rnacentral:rRNA from 1 species